rnacentral:rRNA from 1 species
UGGCGGACGGGUGAGUAAUGUCUGGGAAACUGCCUGAUGGAGGGGGAUAACUACUGGAAACGGUAGCUAAUACCGCAUAACGUCGCAAGACCAAAGAGGGGGACCUUCGGGCCUCUUGCCAUCGGAUGUGCCCAGAUGGGAUUAGCUAGUAGGUGGGGUAACGGCUCACCUAGGCGACGAUCCCUAGCUGGUCUGAGAGGGUGACCAGCCACACUGGAACUGAGACACGGUCCAG